AGGACAGCAAACAGCCAAAGUAUUAGCCGUAUAUAAUGAAUAAAUUCUAAUCCGAAAUAAAUUUGAAAAUAAUCCAAAUCUAUCUAUUGUCAUUGACUACAUGUAUGUCCUCGAGUUCGAACAGUGUGAGUUUUUUCCUUCGAUUGACAAGUCUAAUUAACCGUGGUACGAAUUGAAGGAGAAAAUGAAAAUAGAGACUUAUCAAGAAAUGGCAAAGCUGUUAUUGGACAGCUAUUAGGGGAAUUUGUGUGCCUUCAAAUGCUGGAGCACUGCAUGUUUCAGAACUAUCAUCCAUUCAUGGC